ACCAUAUUAUGUUGAAAAAGCAGAUUCCCAUACAAUCACUGAAAUUAAGCAAUGCUGAGCCUGGUCAGUACCUAGAUGGGUGACUGCUUGGGAAUAUCAGGUGCUGUAAG